GACGAACGCUGGCGGCGUGCUUAACACAUGCAAGUCGAGCGGUAAGGCCCCUUCGGGGGUACACGAGCGGCGAACGGGUGAGUAACACGUUAGCAAUCUGCCCAUCACAUCGGGAUAACUCCGGGAAACCGAAGCUAAUACCGAAUACGACCACCUCCGGCAUCGGAUGGUGGUGGAAAGUUCCGGCGGUGAUGGAUGAGCUCGCGGCCUAUCAGCUUGUUGGUGGGGUAACGGCCCACCAAGGCUUCGACGGGUAGCCGGCCUGAGAGGGUGACCGGCCACACUGGGACUGAGACACGGCCCAGACUCCUACGGGAGGCAGCAGUGGGGAAUAUUGGACAAUGGGCGAAAGCCUGAUCCAGCAACGCCGCGUGAGGGAUGACGGCCUUCGGGUUGUAAACCUCUUUCAGCAGGGACGAAGCGCAAGUGACGGUACCUGCAGAAGAAGCACCGGCCAACUACGUG
rnacentral:rRNA from 1 species